GUCCACGCUGUAAACGAUGAGAACUUGACGUCGGUUCGCCUAGCGAAUCGGUGUCGUAGCUAACGCGCUAAGUUCUCCGCCUGGGGAGUACGGCCGCAAGGUUGAAACUCAAAGGAAUUGACGGGGGCCCGCACAAGCGGUGGAGUAUGUGGUUUAAUUCGAUGCAACGCGAAGAACCUUACCUGGUCUUGACAUGUCAGGAAUCCUGCAGAGAUGCGGGAGUGCCCGCAAGGGAACCUGAACACAGGUGCUGCAUGGCUGUCGU
rnacentral:rRNA from 1 species